ACAACAAUUAACUGGGUGUGGUGGUACGCACCUGUAGUCCCAGCUACUUGGGAGGCUGAUACAGGAGAAUCGCUUGAACCCAGGAGGUGGAGAUUGCAGUGAGCCAAGAUUGCGCCACUGCACUCCAGCCUGGACAACAAGAGAAAAACUCUGUCUCAAAAAAAAAAAAAAAAUCAGCUGGGUGUGGUAGCUCACACCUGUAUAAUCCCAGCACAUUGGGAGGCCAAGAAGGGUGGAUCACCUGAGGUCAGGAGUUUGAGAUCAACCUGGCCAACAUGGCGAAACCCUGUCUCUACUAAAAUUACAAAAAUUAUCUGGGCAUGAUGGUGAGCACCUGUAAUCCCAGCUACUCGGGAGGCUGAGGCAGGAAAAUCCCUUGUACCUGGAAGGCAGAGGUUGCAGUGAGCCAAGAUCGUGCCAUUGCACUCCAGCCUGGGUGACAGAGCAAGGCUCCAUCUCAAAAAAAAAGCAUAAAAAAUCAAGGAAACGCAUUCUCCCAUACAGUUAAAAAAAUUCUUGUUCACCAGGUGCCCAGACACCUAUAUGGUCCUAGCAAAAAAGAUGAAUUUGGCCAGAGUUCAAAGCUCUAAGUGAUGCGAGGAAAAUAAUUAUUGGAGAACAAUUACAUGCUGAGGUUUGUCAAAUACUUUAAGAGAAGAGAAAUAUUAGAAACAGACUCACCAUUUGAAAAUUUUACAUUUUUAUAAAAAAGACAUAUAUACACAAA
rnacentral:lncRNA from 10 species